GACGAACGCUGGCGGCGUGCUUAACACAUGCAAGUCGAACGAUGAAGCCGGAGCUUGCUCUGGUGAAUUAGUGGCGAACGGGUGAGUAACACGUGAGUAACCUGCCCUUGACUCUGGGAUAACUGCGGGAAACUGUAGCUAAUACCGGAUACGACCCUCGGAGGCAUCUCCUGGGGGUGGAAAGAAUUUCGGUCAAGGAUGGACUCGCGGCCUAUCAGCUAGUUGGUGAGGUAAAGGCUCACCAAGGCGACGACGGGUAGCCGGCCUGAGAGGGUGGCCGGCCACACUGGGACUGAGACACGGCCUAGACGCCUACGGGAGGCAGCAGUGGGGAAUAUUGCACAGUGGGCGCAAGCCUGAUGCAGCAACGCCGCGUGAGGGAUGACGGCCUUCGGGUUGUAAACCUCUUUUAGCAGGGAAGAAGCGAAAGUGACGGUACCUGCAGAAAAAGCACCGGCUAACUACGUGCCAGCCGCCGCAGUAA
rnacentral:rRNA from 1 species